rnacentral:rRNA from 1 species
UUGAACGCUGGCGGAAUGCUUUACACAUGCAAGUCGAGCGGCAGCGCGGGGGCAACCCUGGCGGCGAGCGGCGAACGGGUGAGUAAUGCAUCGGAACAUGUCCAAUUGUGGGGGAUAACCUGGCGAAAGCCAGGCUAAUACCGCAUGAGCUCGAGAGAGGAAAGCGGGGGACCGUAAGGCCUCGCGCGAUUGGGUUGGCCGAUGUCCGAUUAGCUAGUUGGUGGGGUAAAGGCUUACCAAGGCGAUGAUCGGUAGCUGGUCUGAGAGGAUGAUCAGCCACACUGGGACUGAGACACGGCCCAGACUCCUACGGGAGGCAGCAGUGGGGAAUUUUGGACAAUGGGGGCAACCCUGAUCCAGCCAUUCCGCGUGAGUGAAGAAGGCCUUCGGGUUGUAAAGCUCUUUUGUCCGGAGCGAAACGGUUAGCGUGAAUAUCGCUGACUACUGACGGUACCGGAAGAAUAAGCACCGGCUAACUACGU